AGAAAUCGAUGCAUGUCAGACACCGUGAGUUGUUGUGCUUAGUAAUACUUAGUAAUGAAUAUCGUACUAUCACUACAUAAACAUUUAACAAAAAAGCAACAACAUAUUUGUCAAGAUAAAUUUGAACUACUAACAUCCAAAUCUAAUCCUAAUAUUGAUACAAACAAUGAACAUGGAAGAACAAUAGGAUCAGCAGGCAAGAUCUUGAGAUGAAUCGGAAUUAGUAAAAAGCCAUGGAAUUGACUGGUCCUGUGCACUGCCACUACAUUGGGCAAUGCUUUCUUGUACAAAAAUAAUAAGGCUCGUGAUCACACAUCACCCAAGAAUCACCUUUUCACAAUGUUUGCACUGUAUGUCAAAACUCAUAUUUCCAGCUGCAGCUUUCGUGCUUAACCUUGCGCUCUUCCCAAUUGAAACCCAGUUUUUAAUGAAGCUU
rnacentral:lncRNA from 1 species